rnacentral:rRNA from 1 species
UACGUAGGGGGCUAGCGUUGUCCGGAAUUACUGGGCGUAAAGGGAGCGUAGGCGGUAAUGUAAGUCAGAUGUGAAAUACCCGGGCUUAACCUGGGGGGUGCAUCUGAAACUGUGUUACUUGAGUGCAGGAGAGGUAAGUGGAAUUCCUAGUGUAGCGGUGAAAUGCGUAGAUAUUAGGAGGAACACCAGUGGCGAAGGCGACUUACUGGACUGUAACUGACGCUGAGGCUCGAAAGCGUGGGGAGCAAAC